UGCCAGCCGCCGCGGUAAUACGUAGGGUGCAAGCGUUGCUCGGAAUUACUGGGCGUAAAGCGCGCGUAGGCGGCUUUUUAAGUCAGAUGUGAAAGUCCACGGCUCAACCGUGGAAGUGCAUUUGAAACUGGGAGGCUUGAGUAUUGGAGGGGGUGGUGGAAUUCCCGGUGUAGAGGUGAAAUUCGUAGAUAUUUGGAGGAACACCAGUGGCGAAGGCGGCUCACUGGCUCGAUACUGACGCUGAGGUACGAAAGUGUGGGGAGCAAACAGGAUUAGAUA
rnacentral:rRNA from 1 species